GCAGCGGCCUGAGGGCAAAUUUAUUGACAACCUUACAGGACAAAAGCAGGCUGGGGACAGGACGGCGACAGGCUCCGGUGGCAGUGGCGGCACUACCUGCGGUACCAGAUCUGCACCCUCCGCUCCCGCUUGAUCUUCCUCUGCAGCUGCAGGAUGCCGUAGAGCAGGGCCUCGGCCGUGGGUGGGCAGCCUGCAGGGACCUUGCCUCAGUCUCCCUUCCCGCAGCCAGAGCCUGUGUGACCACAUGCACAGCGCAGCCGGCUCGGCUUUUGAGGGGCCUCCCGUGCCAGCCUGAAGGUGGAGGCUGGUAGCCCAGGGCGGGCGCAGGGGCCAGCGGCUGGCAGCUGGCAUGGGGGACGUCCCUGCAGGAAGACUGGGGUCCUCCCCUGGGCAAGGCCCCACUGCCUUCCUCCCGUGGCUCAUCCUGGGCUGCCACAGCAAUGUCCUGGACAAGAUGCUGACCUCACUCACCCGGCCCCGGCUCUAGCCCUCAGGACUCCACGGGGGCCAGUGCUCACCAGACACACUUAGCAAUGGGUAGCAGGGCCUGGGGCUGCUCCGGACAGAGAUGAAGACCGGGGGGCUGGGCGGAGGGAGGGGAGGCGGCCCAGGGCCCAGGCAUCCCACAAGGACCCGAUGACCCCCUUUCUGAGCCCCAAGCCAGAGCUCUUUGCUGGGGAUCCCCCAGCCCCAGCUGCCGGGCAGGCUCAGAGCAAAGGGCUUGAGCAAGAGGACACAGCCCAGGGCCCAACAGGGACAGCAGGAGUGGAAACAGGUGACCUGAACAGUGCAGAAUGCUGAGCAAAUCAACGCUCUUUCCAGGGAAGCGGAAUCCAAAGUCAGAACCUGUUCCUCCACUUUUGAGAGGCGCCAGGACGUGCCUCCCGCUUGCCCAGCCCUCCAGACUCGGGACUCAGGGCUGGGCUCUCUGCGCGUGCGCUAAUGCUGCAGCACAGGAUGGCCAAGAACAGGACCUCUAUCCCCUGUCCCACGAGCGCCACCUCUAAGCCUGCCUACCAUGGACCAAUGUCCAUGGUGUCCAGGUGAACGCCCCGGGUGGCCCUCGUGGGACCACGUGAGGCGCAAGACUCCCACAGGAUCACCAGAUAUAAAGAACAUUCCCCGUGUGAUGUGAAUUUCAGGCCAAGCACCAACGAGGCUGGAACUUGUCACAGAGAGCAAUGAGCAAACACGUACAGGCUCCCCGAGCCUCCGUGGGACCAGUGGGGCGCGAGCACGCGCGUGGCUGCUAACUCGGGGAACAGUGCUCCCUUCCCGAGGGGGCUCCUGACCAUCGAUUCCUGGGGCUGGAAAGUGUCGGAUCACAUGUGUCAACAAAAAGCCACUUCAAGCAGCCACAGUGCCAACACCCAGCACCUGUCUAUAGGGCGGCUGAGCCUCACGCCAGGCCCUCGCCCGAUUCCAGCUCUGUCAGUGAGGUGCUGGGGUCCACCCGGGGCAGGUAGCUGGAAACCCCAGGCGACCACUCCCAGCACUGCUUCCCACAGCCGUAAAAAUGGACAUAACCUGAAUGCCCAGUAGUGGGAGACGGUUAUGAAAACUCUGGAAUAUUCUGAUUCUCUGUUUAGAAUUAGAUCAGUAAUAUAUCCACACAGUGGGACAUUAUUCAGCCACGAAAAGGAGCGAGGCUCGGACACAGGUCGCCGCAUGGAUGCACCUUGAGGAUGUCAUGCUCAGUGAGAGAUGCCAGACACAGAAGGCCAUGCAGCGUGUGAUCCUGUUUCUGUGAAAUGUCCAGGAAGGGCCCAUCCACAGAGACAGGGAGGGGAGGUGUGGGCACCGGGGCUUGGAAGGGGAUGCAGAGUGACUGCUGAUGGGGACAGCGUUUCAUUUGGGGGUGAUGAGAAUGUUCUGGAAUUAGAGGUGGUGGCUUAAAAACCACUGAACUGCUCACUUUAAAAGGGUAAACUUCCCAAUACCCAAUCUCUACAAAAAUUUUAAAAAUUAGGCACAGUGGAGCACAUCUGUAAUCCCAGCACUUUGGGAGGCUAAGGUUGGGGGAUCGCUAGAGCCCAGGAGUUCAAGGCUGCAGUGAGCUAUGACUGCACCACUGCACUCCAGCCUGGGCAACUCAGUGAGACUCU